ensembl:lncRNA
AUCAUUUCGUUAAAUAAUUAACUGAAAGUGAACUAAAUCACAUUUCACAUUAUAAAUGUAGUAGUAGAGGAGAGGGGGAGACAGAACGGAUAUUCUGUAGAACGGCGUUUCCAUGGAAAGGUUGUGACAUCACUGGAAACAGAACGCAAUUCUGUUCUACAAAAUUUAAAAAGAAGGCAGAGGCUCAUUGUUUCAUUGAACUCGAUUUUUACAAGCUGUUUAUCAGACCUGUUAAGGAGUAAGAUAUAAUGUUACCUUUUGGUAAAUGCAAGAGUUUUACAAGCUUUGCAGCUUCUGGAACUGAAGCCCUUGCUGCUGGAGAUUAUAAUGUCCAAAAGUGUGAAGUUGAGGAGCCCAUUAGGGAAGCCAUCGAAGGCACAGUUGUCCACAAAGACCCAGUGCAGAAUGUCUCUGAUGGAUACAUGGAUGCGGUCAUGGACACGGCCAAGCCUGAGGAUAUUCUGGAGCAUGAGAACUCUGACCUGAAGGACGAAGUAAAAAUACUGCACUGCUCAUUGGACAAGUUGGAGGAAGAACUCCGUGACACUAACCGCAUGCAUGUAAGGAAAUUAACGGAGCAGGAGCAAAAGCUACAGAAAUCCAAAGUCCUUUGGUACCAAUCCGAAGAGACUAAGGAUAUUCUGGAGCAGGAGAACUCCAACCUGAAGGAUGAAGUAAAAAUACUGCACUGCUCAUUGGACAAGUUGGAGGAAGAACUCCGUGACACUAACCUCAUGAAUGUAAGGAAAUUAACGGAGCAGGAGCAAAAGUUGCAGAAAUCCAAAGUCCUUUGGUACCAAUCUGAAGAGACUAAGGAUAUUCUGGAGCAGGAGAACUCCAACCUGAAGGAUGAAGUAAAAACACUGCGAGCGUCAGUGGAGAAGUUGGAGAGACAACUCUAUGAGACCCAAAAGUUUAAUGAAGAGAUACUGAAUGAGCAGUAUCGAGAGCAGCAGAAACACAUUAACCUUUUGUCCAUGUUUGCAGCCAUUAAG